CUAAGGUUAUAGUUUAUUAUACCGGAAUGUUUCAGAUUGCCUUUGAGACCAGUGUGGAAGGCAUGGGAUCUGAUGUGUAUGUUGCUCUUGACGAUGUUGCUCUUCAGACCCAAAAGAGUUUACCUACAUGUGAUUUCGAGAACAGUAUCUAUGGUGAUUUCUGCAUUUUUGAUCAAUUACGCAAUGG